UCUGUGAUGCAGGGGCAUGUGACUGUAGUCACAGCUACUCCGAAGGCUAAGGCAAAAUUCCUUGAGUUCAAGAGUUCUUGUGUGCUAUGCCAAUUGGGUGUUCAACUAAGUUCAGCAUCAAUAUGGUGACAUCCCAGGAGUGUGGGACCACCAGGCUACCUCAGGAGGGAGAACUGGCCCAGGUUGGAAAUAGAGCAGGUCAAGACUCCCAUGCUGAUUAGCAGUGGGAUUGUGUCUGUGAAUAGCCACUGCACUCCAGCAUGAGCAACAUAGCAAGAGCUUGACU
rnacentral:SRP_RNA from 1 species